UUACGCAAUGUUUAUUGCUCAUAACCUUGAUAACUUGAUACACGUGAAAUGUGGAGCGUUCAAAUUUGGUUUCUCUUCUUCGUUUAUUACGACGUGAAAUAUCAAUAAUAAAGUGUGAAGGUGAAUGAAGUGGCAAAUAUUACUUUAAAUAAUAUGAAUUCUCCAACGCUGCUUAGGACGCUCCGGCAUAUCUCGAUAUGUCGAUUUUUUUCUACGAAACCGGCGUUCACGUGCGACAGAUACAAAAUGAAAAGAGGCCCGUACGCGAACAUUUCCAAUGAUCACGUGGCAUUCUUCAAUGAGUUGCUCGGACGAAACAGGAUGAUUACGGAUGCAGAAGAAUGCGAAGGAUACAACAUAGAUUACUCAAAGAUCGUCAGAGGAAAGAGCACACUCGUAUUGAAACCAAAAACUACCGACGAAGUAUCUGCCAUAUUAAAGUUUUGCAACGACAAUCGGUUAGCCGUAUGCCCCCAGAGCGGAAAUACGGGCCUAGUAGGUGGUAGCGUGCCGGUCUUCGACGAGAUUGUUAUUUCUAUGAAGCUUAUGAAUAAAAUCAUCGAGACGAACGAAUUGGCAGGGGUGCUGACCUGUGAAGCCGGUUGCGUGCUCGAAGAUUUGGACAAUCAUUUAGCGACAGUAGGAUUAAUGAUGCCGAUUGAUCUCGGUGCCAAGGGUAGUUGUCUGAUCGGCGGCUGCGUGUCCACGAACGCAGGAGGUUUGAGGCUUCUUCGUUAUGGUAAUCUUCACGGAAACAUUCUGGGUCUCGAAGCCGUGAAGGCGAACGGGGACGUGGUAGAUUGUUUGAAUACGCUGAAGAAGAACAACACUGGCUACCAUUUGAAACAUCUUUUUAUAGGGUCGGAGGGAACCUUGGGAAUUGUAACGAAAGUCGCCAUUCAAUGUCCACCGCUUCCUGCGGCCAUCAAUGUCGCGUUCUUAGGGCUAAACAGUUUCGACAAAGUGUUGAAAGCGUUUCGUCUGGCGAAAAAAGAAUUGGGAGAGAUUCUGUCGUCGUUCGAGAUGAUGGACAAGUUGUCGUUAGACGUUUCCAUUGAGGCUUUUGGCCUAAAAAGUCCACUAACAUCGAGAACCGACGGUCACGAAUUUUACGUGUUGAUGGAAACUUCGGGUAGCAACGCGAGUCACGAUGAGGAGAAGCUCACCUCAUUCGUAGAGAAAGCGCUUGCCGACGAUAUCAUCGAAGACGGUACUCUGACUUCGGACCCCACCAAAGUCAAAAAUAUAUGGGCACUAAGGGAACGGAUUAGCGAAGGAGUAUUACGAGAAGGUUAUGUCUUUAAAUACGAUAUUUCUAUACCCCUUCCGUCUUUCUAUAAGGUGAUAGAGGUACUUAGGGAACGAUUACGCGAUCCACGCAUCAUAAGAAUCAGUGGAUAUGGACAUCUAGGUGAUGGAAAUAUUCACGUCCAGAUUUCAAUAUUGUCGUACGAAUCUGACAUAGCAUCACAACUACAACCUUUCAUUUUCGAAUACGUGUCUGGUCUUCGUGGUAGCGUAAGUGCUGAACAUGGAAUAGGAUUCACAAAGACAAAAUAUCUACAUAUGAGUAGAACCUCUUCUGAAAUCAAACUUAUGCAUGAAUUGAAACGGAUGAUGGAUCCAAAUGGAAUACUUAAUCCGUAUAAAGUGUUAUAUCCAUUAGAAAUUUCCGUAUAAUAAUAGGAUAAGUAAUAUUAUAAAAUAUACGAUAAGUAGGUAUUUACAUUUAGGAAUAAAUACAAUGCUAUUAAAUAAAUGAAACAUAUCAAAUGAAAAAAAUAAUACAUGAAAAUAAUAUCUAUCCUUAUUUAUUAUUGUAUCUUCUCCUUGUUAUAAUUAUCAUUUUUAUAUCUGUUAAAUGUUCUUAUUCGUCUUUUAUAUUUUCUGCGGUAAAAAAGUUAUUGGAAUUGUUUAUUAGUUUAGUCCGAGGAACGUGAUUUUAUUAAAAAGUUUUUAAAUUUUUCGCGCUUAUGAUUGGUGAAUUCUAUUAUAUCGGCCCACGGUAAAGGAACAGAUUGUAUCCUAUUAUACCGACUCUACAAUUGUUUACUGCAUUGAGUAUUUGUAAGACUAUAGAGAGAUCGCUACCAUCCAGUCAACAUAUUUAUGAAACGAUGUCUAUCUUUGGAUGAAAUGCCAAACGCAUAAAUCAACGUUCAAUAUAUUUGUCAUAAAAAAUAAAAUAUUACAAUAUACUUAAAUACGUUAUACGCGUUAUCUAACGUAUUCAGAAGAUAUAAUUUGCAUAAAAAGUAAAAAUAUAAGUAUGCAUGGAUUGGAAAAUAUAUAGAAAACAUAAUGUAAAACGAUGUAUUUUGAAUUGCGUGAAAAAAAUAGAGAAUACUCGAACAAACGAGAAGCCGCUUAGUGCUAAGAAUAAGCGUUGAUUGGCUAGGAUACGGUUGCUAGUAAAUUCGAGUAGAAACUUGACGCAAGAAAAUUCGAAACGGUUUGCGUCUGCGCAUGCACAGUUCGAAAAAUCUCGAAAAGCGCGCCACAUCAAAUAUAAACCCCGGCCGGCAGUAUUGCGCAGUCAGUUAAAAACUGCAACUUGAAGUGCAAGGUUCGUACAACGUUCCGAGCUACUAACGAACGACUUUAUACAAAACGAACGAUUAUUUCUUCCUGUGAGUGGUU